rnacentral:lncRNA from 1 species
UCCAGGUGUGCUGCUAAUGGAGAGCUCUGUUUCCCAUAAAACCCUUUCUUUUCUGAAGAGGCAGCAGCAUUUCACAGGCUGUUUGCUCAUCUCUAAGCUAUGUUUAAGCUCACAAGUAGUUUUUUUUUUUGGCCUCACCUCCCCUUUCACAAAACCUAAACGACGCCUUUCUUUCCCAGCCCAGGACAUGGUGCAGGGUGAAGAGCACAAUUAAAGACGCUGCCACCACUCACUGCACACCCUCCUGAGGACUCCAUGAGGCAGGACACGGGCUGAUGCUCUCACCCCACCAUGGAUGGGGGGAACAGCUUCCCACAGCACCAGCAGCCGGGCGACGCCGUCCGCGGCAUCCCCGGCCUCCGCUCCCAGCUCGCCGUGCCCGACGUGGAGAAUUCCAUGCUGGCCGCCGACUCGUGGAGUAGCUGCUACCCAGGCUCUUUCCCAACCUCAUCUUUCCCAAGUGAAAACCAGCAAUAUUUUAGCCCCCCUCAGGAUUUUUAUAUGGAUUCCAUCAGCAGACCACAUUUCUUGGAUGCAAACUAUGCAGCUGUGGACCCCACUGACUUCUUACCAAAAAAUGGCGAUUUUCCUCAGCCCCCUGAUGAGCGCUGGCUGUGAAUGGACCUUUCUGCACUUUCCUCUGAGCACCCUCCCCCUGCUGCUGCCUCCUGCACUGACAGCCCCACGAAUGCUGCUCUAAAAUGUCCCAAAUGCAGUUCUGGCUGAAGUUCCCAUCUCUCUAUAAGGAAGAUAAUGUGUCAUAAUCUCAGUUUUGGGGUAAUGACAGGAGUACCAUGUGCCGCAGUAGCAUCAGGUUGUCCUCUGCUCUGAGACCCACCUGC